rnacentral:rRNA from 1 species
UACGAAGGGGGCUAGCGUUGCUCGGAAUCACUGGGCGUAAAGCGCACGUAGGCGGAUCUUUAAGUCAGGGGUGAAAUCCUGGAGCUCAACUCCAGAACUGCCUUUGAUACUGGGGAUCUCGAGUCCGGAAGAGGUGAGUGGAACUCCGAGUGUAGAGGUGAAAUUCGUAGAUAUUCGGAAGAACAUCAGUGGCGAAGGCGGCUCACUGGUCCGGUACUGACGCUGAGGUGCGAAAGCGUGGGGAGCAAACAGG